rnacentral:rRNA from 1 species
GGACAGGGAUAAGCCCGCGAAAGUGGGUCUAAUACCGGAUAUGACUACGCAGGGCAGCCUGCGCAGUAAAAAAAGCAAUUUGCCUGAAGAUGAGUCCGCGUCCCAUUAGCUUGUUGGUGGGGUAAUGGCCUACCAAGGCGACGAUGGGUAGCCGGCCUGAGAGGGUGUCCGGCCACACUGGGACUGAGACACGGCCCAGACUCCUACGGGAGGCAGCAGUGGGGAAUCUUGCGCAAUGGGGGAAACCCUGACGCAGCGACACCGCGUGAAGGACUAAGGCCUUCGGGUUGUAAACUUCUGUGUUACGGGAAGAAACCGUUGUUUUUUAAUAACGGUUGACGGUACCGUAGUAGAAAUCCCCGGCUAACUCCGUGCCAGCAGCCGCGGUAAUACGGAGGGGGAAAGCGUUGUUCGGAAUUACUGGGUGUAAAGGGCACGUAGGUGUUCAGGCAAGUCUUUUGUGAAAUCCCUCCGCUCAAGGGAGGAAUUGCAUUAGAAACUGUCUGAAUUGAGUACGGGAGAGGAGAGUGGAACUCCAGGUGUAGCGGUGAAAUGCGUAGAUAUCUGGAGGAACACCGGUGGCGAAGGCGGCUCUCUAUCCCGAUACUGACGCCGAAGUGCGAAAGCUAGGGGAGCAAACAGGAUUAGAUACCCUGGUAGUCCUAGCUGUAAACGAUGGGCACUAGGUGUAGGGGAGUUUUCUCUUCUGUGCCGUAGUUAACGCGAUAAGUGCCUCACCUGGGGAGUACGGUC